rnacentral:rRNA from 1 species
UACGUAGGUCUCAAGCGUUGUUCGGAUUCAUUGGGCGUAAAGGGUGCGUAGGUGGCGCGGUAAGUCGGGUGUGAAAUCUCGGGGCUUAACUCCGAUACUGCAUUCGAUACUGCCGUGCUUGAGGACUGGAGAGGAGACUGGAAUUUACGGUGUAGCAGUGAAAUGCGUAGAUAUCGUAAGGAAGACCAGUGGCGAAGGCGGGUCUCUGGACAGUUCCUGACACUGAUGCACGAAGGCCAGGGGAGCAAACGG